rnacentral:rRNA from 1 species
CCUACGGGUGGCAGCAGUGAGGAAUAUUGGUCAAUGGGCGAGAGCCUGAACCAGCCAAGUCGCGUGAGGGAGUACUGCCCUAUGGGUUGUAAACCUCUUUUGUCGGGGAGCAAAAGCCGGACGUGUCCGGCUGUGAGAGUACCCGAAGAAAAAGCAUCGGCUAACUCCGUGCCAGCAGCCGCGGUAAUACGGAGGAUGCGAGCGUUAUCCGGAUUUAUUGGGUUUAAAGGGGGCGCAGGCGGAUUUUUAAGUCAGCGGUAAAAUCGUGGGGCAAAACCCCAUCCAGCCGUUGAAACUGGGGAUCUAGAGUGUGCGAGAGGUAUGCGGAAUGCGUGGUGUAGCGGUGAAAUGCAUAGAUAUCACGCAGAACCCCGAUUGCGAAGGCAGCAUACCGGUGCACAACUGACGCUCAGGCACGAAAGCGUGGGUAUCGAACAGGAUUAGAUACCCCAGUAGUC